GGAAAAAUGGGGUGUGAAAAACUCAAAGCCAUUGUGAUUUAGAUCUUUUACAUAAAGUUAAAAUCGGCAUGAAUUUUGUAAGAGAGGAAAAUAGUAGUACUCUGAAAAAAGCCACUUUUAUACAGCCAGUACUUCGUUAAGAAGAUUUUAUAAUAGGUAGAAUAUAAUCAUAUCUUGUUUAUUAUCAUCAAUAUUUUUUAUUUCAUUUUUUUUACAUAUUAAUUUUAUCAACUUACGUGAUAUACACCACAUUGUCAUUUUAUCAUGUGCGUUCACGGUCUGUUUUGUUUACAAGUGGCACGUUUCUGUAUAGAAGUGUACAUGUCCCUCGCUUUACCCUGUUCUGUGCCUCAAACAAGAAAAAAUAAAUGUAGUAUAAAUGAGUUGACACAAGGAAGUACCUAGCUGGUCUGAAUAUCUCUAACUUGUAUAUAAAGAACGUGAAGCGUUGUAAAGAAACAAUUCAACAUGUCCUUCAUGACAGCACAAUCUGGGGUUUGGAGUGGAUAUUACAUACAAUAUGGCAUUCGGUAUCCUUUCAGCAUACAACUUUUUCUCGGUAACUUUGACGAAUCGGUGAAAGGCGAAGGAACAGACAGUAUCGGUAAUUUUAUGAUCAACGGAUCAUGGAGGAAGUGUGACGGGUUGGUGAAGUUUACAAAGCAGUAUAUCGGCGCUCACUCUGUGGUUUAUGGCGGUCUUUUAUCCUCUGAUGGCAGGCACAUGGAUGGGAAAUACAUCGUUGGGGAAAGUGUUGGAGAUUUCCACAUGGAAAUUUCAAGUUAAACAAUUAUCAGCUGUAUUUUCACUCAGAUAUAGCAUACAAUGACUAGAAAAUUGUAUACACAACUGUUUGUUAUGUAUAUGAACUUUUAGAAGGCUGAAAUGUGGUAAUGUAUUUCAGAUAAGUACAUUUAUCAUUAAACAUUUGUUUAACUUUG